CAGAAUUUUGGAAAUUCCCGCUCAGUUACGCCUUACCUUUACUACCUGUUGUUUUUCUUUUCGAGUUAGACGUAUUUUGGGCUGUGAUCUCGAAAAGAACGGUUAAAAACUUACACUUAUCACGUUCAUCAUCAUCUCGCGAUAUUUAAACUGUCGUGUGCCUGAUCUUCAGGAGUCUGGUUGAGAUUCAAGUGGUCGAGUUCUUUUUUUCACUGCAGCAAUUUCGGACUUUGAAAGAUACAAGUUACACCACGAACCAGGAAUUUGGAUUUUUGGGACAGAGUCACACGGUCAGUGAAAUAAAAUGAUUUGUUAUAUGGUGUGAUUGAAAGUUAAUUCAAGAUGGCAGACACUGCUUUUGAGAAAUUGAUACAACAUGCAAAGAGUGGAAAAGUUGAUGAAAUAAACAGAAUAUUACAAAAUGAAUCUAUAAAAAAUGAGAUAUUGGAUAAGAAAGAUGAGUUGGGGAAUAGAGCACUUAACCAUGCCAUUCAAUUUGAUCACUACAAAGUAGUCGAGAAAUUAAUAGACCAUGGCAGUGAUGUGAAACUGAAAAAUGAG